rnacentral:tRNA from 1 species
GUCUUUUCAUUCCCAUUCCCACAUCGCUAUAAAUCCUUCCCUCGGGCCCCUUCUUCAGCAUUCCUCGCUUCUCAGCACAGCCCGAGAACCCCCGAUCCCCGACACUUUGCUUCCUUUCAGCUCCCAGGUGGAUCCCGGACAGGAUGCUGCAGGUGGUGCAGGAAGGCAAUCUUGCCCCAUUUGUCAUCAACACAAUGAAAAGGGGUCGAAGAGACCGAGAGCGCCAGAGGACGCCACGGGCUCCACAUCCGCUUGGACUCCAGGAAAGGCGAUACAUCUGCGAAAGCCCUAAUCAUAGAGGGAAAGACUGCUCGUUCCUGGCCCAGAAAUGAGAUGAGAAAUCCAGGGCCCCGUACGGGAAGGACUUUUGCAAAGUCUGGACUCAACUGCCUUCGCAGCCCUUGAAGUCUCUUUAGGAAGGGCUGUGGGAGAACGAGGUUGGUUUAGGAGUUGGCCCCUGCCUUGUACUACGUAGUUUUGUCAUCCAAAGUGUUUUAGAAGUGAAUUAAAUCAUAUUUCCAUCUUAUUUUGAAACACUAUAGUUCGGAUAACUUAAAACCUUAUUAAUAGUCCUCAUAAUCACGUUGGUAGAGUCCUUGCUUAAACCAUAAAGACAGUUGCCUCCUUAGCGCAGUAGGCAGCGCGUCAGUCUCAUAAUCUGAAGGUCCUGAGUUCGAACCUCAGAGGGGGCAACGCAUCUGUUUUGCCAUUUUUCUUCCUCUUGACCCAAAAUGAGUAAGACAACGAAGGAAGUUGGCAAAUCCUUGUUCUUACUCCGCUUUCUCUGUAGAAAAGAGUACAAUAUGUCUGGUAAGGAAAAAAGAAAAAAUCUAAGGAAAUUGCUUUGAUGGAACAGAACGGUUAAUUGCUGCUUAAUAGAACCAUGUUCCGUUACAAAACAGUGAUUUUCAUUAAGAAUUUAAUUCUCCAAAAUUCUUCUCAUCUCCCCUCCCUCCCUGCAUACCAAUUGGAGAUAGAGCUGGUAGCAUUUUCAAAUGUUUUUCAGAUAUGCUUGGCGUUUGUCUUUGUUUUAAAAACACCAGAGUCAAGAAACUUACCAGUUUUAG